AUGAGCAAACGUGCAAUUCUCUCGACCAAAAACGAGCAUGUGGAUGACCUGAAUGACAAGAUGAUCUCUAGGUUUCCGGGAGAAGAAAAGGUAAAAAUCAACUGCCCGGUCAUUUUGCUACGGAACCUCGACCCUCAUAAUGGCUUGUGUAAUGGAACACGACUUAUGAUCAGAGCCUUCCAGGAUAAUGCAAUCGAUGCGGAGAUUGUUGGUGGCCAGCAUGCUGGAAAGAGGGUGUUCAUACCUAGGAUCCCUAUGUCGCCAUCGGAGGACACCUCACUUCCCUUCAAGCUUAAAGAAAACAAUUCCCCAUCCGCCUGA
rnacentral:rRNA from 1 species